UGGGGAAUAUUGCACAAUGGGCGCAAGCCUGAUGCAGCCAUGCCGCGUGUGUGAAGAAGGCCUUCGGGUUGUAAAGCACUUUCAGCGAGGAGGAAGGGUAGUGUGUUAAUAGCACAUUGCAUUGACGUUACUCGCAGAAGAAGCACCGGCUAACUCCGUGCCAGCAGCCGCGGUAAUACGGAGGGUGCAAGCGUUAAUCGGAAUUACUGGGCGUAAAGCGCACGCAGGCGGUUUGUUAAAUCAGAUGUGAAAUCCCCGCGCUUAACGUGGGAACUGCAUUUGAAACUGGCAAGCUAGAGUCUUGUAGAGGGGGGUAGAAUUCCAGGUGUAGCGGUGAAAUGCGUAGAGAUCUGGAGGAAUACCGGUGGCGAAGGCGGCCCCCUGGACAAAGACUGACGCUCAGGUGCGAAAGCGUGGGGAGCAAACA
rnacentral:rRNA from 1 species